GGAGUGUUAAUUCAAUUGGUUAGAACGUCGGCCACUGCCGAUUAAUGGGGGUUCGAGUCCCUCACGCUCCCGCCA
rnacentral:tRNA from 1 species